rnacentral:rRNA from 1 species
UGACCAACCUGCCCCUAACUCUGGGAUAACCCCGGGAAACCGGAGCUAAUACCGGAUACGAGACCGAGUGGCAUCACACGGUCUGGAAAGUUUUUCGGUUAGGGAUGGGGUCGCGGCCUAUCAGCUUGUUGGUGGGGUAAUGGCCUACCAAGGCGACGACGGGUAGCCGGCCUGAGAGGGCGACCGGCCACACUGGGACUGAGACACGGCCCAGACUCCUACGGGAGGCA